UGGAUCAAUCAUGACUACUGGUAUUGGAUGGGUCUUCGUCAGUGAAUGCCUAUCUGGAACUCUGAGGUCCAU
rnacentral:snoRNA from 10 species